rnacentral:rRNA from 1 species
GAUGAACGCUAGCGGCAGGCUUAAUACAUGCAAGUCGUGGGGCAGCAGGUUUGUAGCAAUACAGAUGCUGGCGACCGGCAAACGGGUGCGGAACACGUACGCAACCUCCCUCUAACUAGAAGAUAGCCCACCGAAAGGUGGAUUAAUACUCCAUAACAUAUUGAAAAGGCAUCUUUUUGAUAUUAACGCUCCGGCGGUUAGCGAUGGGCGUGCGUCUGAUUAGGUAGUUGGCGGGGUAACGGCCCACCAAGCCUGCGAUAAGUAGCUGAUGUGAGAGCAUCAUCAGCCACACGGGCACGGAGACACGGGCCCGACUCCUACGGGAGGCAGCAGUAAGGAAUAUUGGUCAAUGGACGCAAGUCUGAACCAGCCAUGCCGCGUGGAGGAUGAAGGUCCUCUGGAUUGUAAACUUCUUUUCUCUGGGACGAAACCCCCGAUUUCCAUCGGGCCUGACGGUACCAGAGGAAUAAGCACCGGCUAACUCCGUGCCAGCCGCCGCCGUAACAC